rnacentral:rRNA from 1 species
GUAGGUUAAGCUAGUAAGGGCACACGGAGGAUGCCUUGGCGCCAGGAGCCGAUGAAGGACGGGACGAACACCGAUAUGCUUCGGGGAGCUGUAAGUAAGCUUUGAUCCGGAGAUUUCCGAAUGGGGCAACCCACCAGUCUGAAGGACUGGUACCUCUACCUG